rnacentral:rRNA from 1 species
AGUAACGGCGAGUGAAGCGGCAACAGCUCAAAUUUGAAAUCUGGCUCUUUCAGGGUCCGAGUUGUAAUUUGCAGAGGGCGCUUUGGCUUUGGCAGCGGUCCAAGUUCCUUGGAACAGGACGUCACAGAGGGUGAGAAUCCCGUACGUGGUCGCUAGCUAUUGCCGUGUAAAGCCCCUUCGACGAGUCGAGUUGUUUGGGAAUGCAGCUCUAAAUGGGAGGUAAAUUUCUUCUAAAGCUAAAUAUUGGCCAGAGACCGAUAGCGCACAAGUAGAGUGAUCGAAAGAUGAAAAGCACUUUGGAAAGAGAGUCAAACAGCACGUGAAAUUGUUGAAAGGGAAGCGCUUGCAGCCAGACUUGCUUGCAGUUGCUCAUCCGGGCUUUUGCCCGGUGCACUCUUCUGCAGGCAGGCCAGCAUCAGUUUGGGCGGUGGGAUAAAGGUCUCUGUCACGUACCUCUCUUCGGGGAGGCCUUAUAGGGGAGACGACAUACCACCAGCCUGGACUGAGGUCCGCGCAUCUGCUAGGAUGCUGGCGUAAUGGCUGUAAGCGGCCCGUCUUGAAACACGGACCAAGGAGUCUAACAUCUAUGCGAGUGUUUGGGUGUCAAGCCCGAGCGCGUAAUGAAAGUGAACGGAGGUGGGAACCCGCAAGGGCGCACCAUCGACCGAUCCUGAAGUUUACGGAAGGAUUUGAGUAAGAGCAUGGCUGUUGGGACCCGAAAGAUGGUGAACUAUGCUUGAAUAGGGUGAAGCCAGAGGAAACUCUGGUGGAGGCUCGCAGCGGUUCUGACGUGCAAAUCGAUCGUCAAA